UACGGAGGAUCCAAGCGUUAUCCGGAAUCAUUGGGUUUAAAGGGUCCGUAGGCGGUUUAAUAAGGUCAGUGGUGAAAGCCCAUCGCUCAACGGUGGAACGGCCAUUGAUACUGUUAAACCUUGGAAUUAUUAGAAGUAACUAGAAUAUGUAGUGUAGCGGUGAAAUGCUUAGAGAUUGACAUGGAAUACCAAUUGCGAAGGCAGGUUACUACUAAUGGAAUUGACGCUGAUGGACGAAAGCGUGGGUAGCGAACAGG
rnacentral:rRNA from 1 species